AUGAUGAUUUAGAGAAAAUUCGUUUAAGGUUAUAAACUGAAUACCCAUGUGGAUGCUAUUCUAGGGCGGUCUGAUUCU
rfam:Dendroctonus ponderosae Seq01024846, whole genome shotgun sequence.